rnacentral:rRNA from 1 species
UGGGGAAUAUUGCACAAUGGGGGAAACCCUGAUGCAGCGACGCCGCGUGAACGAAGAAGGUAUUCGUAUCGUAAAGUUCUGUCCUAUGGGAAGAUAAUGACAGUACCAUAGAAGAAAGCUCCGGCUAAAUACGUGCCAGCAGCCGCGGUAAUACGUAUGGAGCGAGCGUUGCCUGGAAUUAUUGGGCGUAAAGGGUACGCAGGCGGUUUAAUAAGUCGAAUGUUAAAGAUCGGGGCUCAACCCCGUAAAGCAUUGGAAACUGAUAAACUUGAGUAGUGGAGAGGAAAGUGAACUUCCUAGUGUAGUGGUGAAAUACGUAGAUAUUAGGAGGAAUACCAGUAGCGAAGGCGACUUUCUGGACACAAACUGACGCUGAGAUACAAAAGCGUGGGGAGCAAACAGG